rnacentral:lncRNA from 1 species
CUUCCCUGAAUAGUGGAGGCUGUUAUAGCAGCAAUGAUCCAACAUCUAGUGGAAAGUCUUCCCAGAAGAGUGGAGGCUGUUAUAGCAGCAAUGUUCCAACAUCUAGUGGAAAGUCUUCCCUGAAGAGUGGAGGCUGUUAUAACAGCAAAGGGGGGGACCAACUCCAUAUUAAUGACUUCCCAGAAGAGUGGAGGCUGUUAUAGCAGCAAUGAUCCAACAUCUAGUGGAAAGCCUUCCCAGAAGAGUGGAGGCUGUUAUAGCAGCAAUGAUCCAACAUCUAGUGGAAAGUCUUCCCAGAAGAGUGGAGGCUGUUAUAGUUAUAGUGUCCACAUACGGUAAGUAUUCAGACCCCUUCCCUUUUUCCACAUUUUGUUACGUUACAGCCUUAUUCUAAAAUGGAUUCAAUUAAUAUUUUCUCAUCGAUGACAAAGUGAAAACAGGUUUUUAGAAUUUUGGGCAAAUGUAUUAAAAAUACAAAACAGAUAUACCUUAUUUACAUAAGUAUUCAGACCCUUUGCUAUGAGACUCUAAAUUGAGCUCAGGUGCUUCCUGUUUCCAUUGAUCAUCCUUGAGAUGUUUCUACAACUUGAUUGGAGUCCAUCUGUGGUAAAUUCAAUUGAAUGGACAUGAUUUGGAAAGGCACACAUGUCUAUAUAAGGUCCCACAGUUGACAGUGCACGUCAGGGUAAAAACUAGGGCUUGGUGUGACGGACAGGGCUUGGUGUGACGUGGGCAGGGCUUGGGGUGGCGUGGCAGGGCUUGGUGUGACGGACAGGGCUUGGGGUGACGGGGCAGCAUGAAGGAGAGAGACAACUGAAGUAGCGAACACAGGAAACUAUGAACACAGACAUUACGCCCGCCAGAGUGGUGGAUCACAUUGAACAAACCAAACAUGGAAAUAUCGUUAUAGAAGGUAAAGUAAAAAACCCAAACUGGUCCCUGCAUCAAUACCGGUAUA